AGCAGCCGCGGUAAUUCCAGCUCCAAUAGCGUAUAUUAAAGUUGCUGCAGUUAAAAAGCUCGUAGUUGAAUUUCGGGGUUAGUAGGCUGGUCGUACCACUGGUACGUACUGGUCUCACUGAUUCCUCCUUCCUGAUGAACCGUAAUGCCAUUAAUUUGGUGUUGCGGGGAAACUGGACUGUUACUUUGAAAAAAUUAGAGUGUUUAAAGCAAGCUAACGCUUGAAUACAUUAGCAUGGAAUAAUGAAAUAGGACGUUCGAUCCUAUUUUGUUGGUUUUCUAGGAUUGACGUAAUGAUUAAUAGGGAUAGUUGGGGGCAUUAGUAUUCAAUUGUCAGAGGUGAAAUUCUUGGAUUUAUUGAAGACUAACUACUGCGAAAGCAUUUGCCAAGGAUGUUUUCAUUAAUCAAGAACGAAAGUUAGGGGAUCGAAGACGAUCAGAUACCGUCGUAGUCUUAACCGUAAACUAUGCCGACUAGGGAUCGGAUGAUGUUAUUUUUAAUGACUCAUUCGGCGCCUUAC
rnacentral:rRNA from 1 species